rnacentral:rRNA from 1 species
AUUGAACGCUGGCGGCAGGCCUAACACAUGCAAGUCGAACGAGUGGCGGACGGGUGAGUAAUGUCUGGGAAACUGCCUGAUGGAGGGGGAUAACUAAUGGAAACGGUAGCUAAUACCGCAUACCAUCGGAUGUGCCCAGAUGGGAUUAGCGAGUAGGUGGGGUAAAGGCUCACCUCGGAGACGAUUCCUAGCUGGUCUGAGGGGAUGACCAGCCACACUGGAACUGAGACACGGUCCAGACUCCUACGUGAGGCAGCAGUGGUGAAUAUGUCACAAUUGGCGCAAGCCGGAUGCAGCCAUGCCGCGUGGAUGAAGAAGGCCUUCGGGUUGUAAAGUACUUUCAGCGGGGAUGCGUUACCCGCAGAAGAAGCACCGGCUAACUCCGUGCCAGCAGCCGCGGUAAUUC